GACGAACGCUGGCGGCGUGCUUAACACAUGCAAGUCGAACGCUGAAGCUCAGCUUGCUGGGUGGAUGAGUGGCGAACGGGUGAGUAACACGUGAGUAACCUGCCCUCUUCUUUGGGAUAACGCCCGGAAACGGGUGCUAAUACUGGAUAUUCACUGAUUCUCGCAUGGGGGUUGGUGGAAAGGUUUUUUCUGGUGGGGGAUGGGCUCGCGGCCUAUCAGCUUGUUGGUGGGGUGAUGGCCUACCAAGGCUUUGACGGGUAGCCGGCCUGAGAGGGUGACCGGUCACAUUGGGACUGAGAUACGGCCCAGACCCCUACGGGAGGCAGCAGUGGGGAAUAUUGCACAAUGGGCGAAAGCCUGAUGCAGCGACGCCGCGUGAGGGAUGGAGGCCUUCGGGUUGUAAACCUCUUUCGCUCAUGGUCAAGCCGCAGCUUUGGGUUGUGGUGAGGGUAGUGGGUAAAGAAGCGCCGGCUAACUACGUG
rnacentral:rRNA from 1 species